CGGAGGUAGCAGCGUCGGCGGUCCCUCUGGCUCCAACUUGACCGCCACCUCCGUCUGCUCCUCCGCCAGCGCCGCCAUCUUGCGGCUGAGCCACCUCGCGCCGUCAAGCGUGAUUGCGUUUUCGCCACAUGGAGGGCGGGGAGGAGCGUUUUACGACACCUUGGGAAGGCAAUGUACGGCAGUAGGAGGGGCGAGAAAGAAGGAGAAAAAGAAUAGGAGCAAGAGCAACUUUCAAAAAUGAGUGACAGAAAGGCAGGAAGUGGAAGGUGGCGACCGCCGGUAACAUUUGACUGUGGUUGAACUGAGACCCAAAGAGGUUGAACAACUUGCCAAAGUCUCGCAAGAAGAAAGUGAAAGUGUCAAGAUUUGAAUCCCGGUCUAAAACUCAAAAGCAAACCCGAAAGCCAGAGGAGGCUUCUGAGAUACUGGUAGUGACUCCCAGAGUAGGACUGCUAAAAGGUAAAAGGUCUUUGAACAUAAUUUUGAAAAGAAGAAAUAAUGGAAUCAUUUUCCAUAACCAUAAUAUACUAUUUUCAUGUCUGCUAAUGUACUCUCACUUUUUAAAGCUAUUACAUUUAAGUCUGCGAUCCAUUUAAGCUAAUUUUUGUAGAUGGUAAGAGGUAGAGGCCCAACUUCAUUCUUUUGCAUGUGGAUAUCCAGUUAUCCCUGCAUCAUUUGUUGAAAUUCUUGCCCCUUUAGAUGUUUUGGGAAAUUUGUGAAGAACCUAUUAGCUACAAAUGUGAGGGUUUAUUUCUGCACUCUCAAUUCUAUUCUGUUCGAUCUGUAUGUCUGUCCUUAUGCUAGCACCAUAGUGUUUUGAUUACUGUAGCUUUGUAGUUAAGUUCCCAAAUCAGGAUGUGUGUGUCUUCCACCUUCAUUCUUCUCUUUCAAGAUGGUUUUGGCUAUCCUUGGUCAAUUUUUUGUAGCAACAACAAGAAAAAAAUGGAUGUAUUGAUCCAUUGCCUUUAAUCAGAUUUAGUAUCAUUCCUAUAAACCUCUAUAAUGGAAUUCUAAGGAGGGUGUUUGGGCAUGAGGUGUUUGGGAAAACAUGUUUUAAUUUGGGAAAGGGACCAUGAUGCUUUAAAUCUUUGGAAUCUGACUUGUUUCAGAGGACUCUAAAGUUUUAUUUUCUUUCACAAAUACAAUUGUAUAACAUCAGAACAUAGACGGUAGGACUUGAGCAGUAGUACAGAAUUUUAGAUCAUUAACCAUGUGAUCCUUGAAAUCAAGACAAAGUUGUGUUUCAGGAACCCUCAUUAUGUUAACAAAUCAGCACAAGAAAUAGGUAUAAAUAUCUUAAAGUCUUGACCUUGAUUGGAGUCUGUAUUUUACUCAGUAUUAGUAAUUAUAUAUAUAAAACAUAUGCAUUCGAUGAUUUGAAACUGUUUUUUUUUUAAA